UCUAUAAAUGUUGUCGCUAUGAGACGAAUGGUUGUUAUUGGAAUGGCAAGAUAAUAAAAAAACUUUUCACUUCAUGUGACAAUGUUUAUACAAAGUAAAAAAAAGUCGUUGGAUGCCCUUGUCAAGAAUGGAACAUGUUAAAGAAUUAGACGGUGAAUGAUAUGGCUAAAUUGACAGAUUUGAAUUAUGCAUCUAUCUUAGAGGGGAAAGUUUCAAGCUUAGAGUGAAAUUGUAUUAAGUUUGGUUAAUGUUCUUAUGUUUUAGGAAUUGGUAUGAUUCGCAAGUUUCAUUAUAAUGUAUUUCCAUCGUUAAUGAAGUAAAUUUGAACCAAAUUUGUUUUCAUUUUUGGCCCGCGUUUGGUGCAGUUUAGUAUCGAAUUUUGGUUCAAUUUUUUUUAUCUCGUUAUGGU
rnacentral:lncRNA from 1 species